rnacentral:rRNA from 1 species
GACGAACGCUGGCGGCGUGCUUAACACAUGCAAGUCGAACGAAGUGGCGAACGGGUGAGUAAUACGUGGGUAACCUGCCCUCCUUUUUGGGAUAAGCCUUGGAAACGGGGACUAAUACCGAAUUAAGGGGGUUGGGCUCGCGGCCUAUCAGCUUGUUGGUGGGGUGAUGGCCUACCAAGGCGGUGACGGGUAGCUGGGCUGAGAGGGUGAACGGGCAGAUUGGGACGGAGAUACGGCCCAGGCUCCUACGGGAGGGAGAAGAGGGGGAUAUUGCACAAUGGGCGAAAGCCUGAUGCAGCGACGCCGAGUGGGGGAUGAAGGCUGUCGGGUUGUAAAACUCAUGCGGAAUGGAUCGGGUAGGUGGAGAAGAAGCGCCGGCUAACUACGUGCCAGCAGCCGCGGUAAUUC